rnacentral:lncRNA from 1 species
CACCAUUUCCGUACAGUUCGCCAAUAGGAACCGUAGGGGGCAAAAGCCAAGCCCUUGCCACUGUAGGUCAAGUACUCGGUAGAUUGGAGGUUAGGCCUGGAAGCAAAAACAAGGUCAUGGACCUUGAGGAACAGUUCAGCGGCUUCAGGUGAUGAUACCACAAUCGUCGGUACAUAGCCUAGCUUUAUUGACAUUAUGGGUCCAUAUUUUUUGCCAAGAUGGUGAAGGGUUUGGUGAGGAAGUUUCCCUAGCAUAUGGAGGUUACCAAUAAUGGGAAGAGGAGCAGGACCGGGUGGAGGUUUCUGGCCAUUUUUGUGGUGGUUUCGUGGGCGGAAGAAAUAGACAAAGGAACAAAGAGGUACAAGGAGUACCAAGAGAAUGGCUAACGUUGAAUAAUACAUUUGGGAUGGGAAAGGAGAGGCAGCCGAUUGACAAUUGACAAUUGACAACCCCACCUUAAAUAAGAAAGGAACAAAUAUGAGUUCCAUGUUGGCGGACAAGUAAUACUGUAAUUACAAAUAAAUAACCAAAUAUGAACCAUAUUUUUCUCAAUCAAAAGAAAAAAAACAUGAGCCACAAGUGGGGAAAGAAGUAAAGAGUAGAUUUUUACAUUAGAUUUAUUUCCAAUGAUGUCCAUGCCUUAACUUAUAUAUUUUUUGACACAAUGUAUAGAAGAUAAUGUGUUUCAGUGCGCUCAAACUCAUAUACUCUUGUAUUGACAACAAUACACAUACUAAUCUAUAGUUUCUUUCCAAUCCAUAAAUAAGAAGAUAAUGUGUUUCAGUGCACUCAACCUCAUAUACUCUUGUAUUGACAACAAUACACAUACUAAUCAAACUAAUACUCAAUCAACUAUGUUAACUUAUAUAUUGAUUGAGAUUGAUGUUUAAUCUAUUUAAAAAAAUAUCGAUUUGACAUUCAUAUGACAGCUUAAUAUUUAUAUUUAUGAUUUUUUUAUAACUAACCCAAAUAAAUUGAUUAUUUACGAAAUUGAUUUAGGUGCAAAAUCUUAUACAAAAAUGAUCUGUUUUUUUACAUUACAUGUUGAUGUCGGCCAUCCAUCACCCCUUAAUGAUUGCUCGAUCUAUAAAAAAUAAAUUUUUUGUGUGUUCACGGCACCGGUAUGUAUUUUUUUUUCAAAUACACUUAAAAAAUACAGACAUUCCAGGAUUUAAAAAAAAUAUUUUAAUAGGUGUGGACAUUCUCGUUGCUGACACCGGUUGAAAUUAAAAAAAUAAUUUUUUAUUUUUUUUAGUGUCAACAUUCUCUUUGCUAAUGUGGUUUUUGAAUUUUUUUUGCCAGCGUGCUUUGGUUGCCAGGAUAGGUUAAAAGAAGAGAGGAAGAGAAGAAGAUAAGGCAGCUUGAGCAAGAACAAUAUAGACAUGGAAAAUAUAACAAUUAAUGAUAACAAUAACCAAAUUAAUUAAUUGUAAAAUAAAUAAGAAGCUGUGGAGUUAUACCUCGUAUUUUUCAGUUUUUCUUCUCUAAAUUAAACUCUAUUUUUUAAUUUUUCACUUAAAACUCCGAUUAGUGUAUAUUAUUUUAAUAUUAUUUGACCUAUGAAUUUAGCUAUAAAUAUGUCCUUUUCCACUUUAAGAAAAUAAUCCAUUACACAUUUAGGUAUUAACUGUUACAAGCUUUCGGAAAAUUUUGUGUUUACAUUUUGAGAGUUCUUAUUUUGGGUUUCAGGAUUUAGUUUUAUCCCUAUCUUUUGUACUCUUCAUUUUUGCCAUUUUAGUGAAAUUAUCUUUACUCGUGAUUUUUUAUCUUCUUCGGAAGGAUUUUUUCACGUAAAAUAUUUGCAUUCAAUCUUUUCAAUUUCCUUGUUAUUUUAUUUGUUCGUUGCUUAAUCCGGUUUAUCUCCAACAAAAAGCCAACAUGAUCAAAUGAAAGGACAAAUAGUUAACAAAAAGAGAUAGUAAAAUAAUUAUUUGUUCGUUGCACUAUAAAAACAUGUCAUUUUGGUACAAAAUUUUACACUCGGGAUAUUUUCGUACAUAAACAAUUUAUUUAGGUCAAUUACUGAAAAACCCCUAUACUCAUCCUUGCUGAAGAAUUUUUUUAAAAUAAAUUUAUAUUAUCAACACUUCAAGAAAAGAAGUUUAAAAACAAAAAUUGUUGAAAAACCCCUAUACUCAUCCUUACUAUUGGAUUAAAAAUUGUUAGCAAUAUCAACACGAGAGACUCGGGUUGAGCUUGUUUAUUUAGAUUACUUGUGUGGCGUAUUUGGAAAAAUAGAAACCUCUUUAUUUUCUAAGAUAUUUCUAUGAAUUUGAAUGAUAUUAUUAGGAUUCUAUACAGCUGAGCUAAUCAAUUUAUCUCAAUAAGUAGAGCUAUGUCGAAAAUGGCAUCUAAAUCUUUGUGUGCGCUGUUAGUCCCAAGUAUGUGUUUUUAUCUCAAUACGGAUGGUGCUGUUCAAACAAACAUUGGGUUAUCUGCUGUAGGAGGUGUGAUUUGGGAUGAAAUUGGGAAGUGGACAUUAGGAUAUAAUAGGUUCUUGGGGAAGUGUUAUGUCUUUGUUAUCGAAUUGCGGGAAAUCUUUGAUAGUUUGCUCUUACUUUAUUUUAUGAAGACGAGUGAUUUAUGCGGUACACUCCUAUAGAGAAUAAUUAGAUAGCAGAUACAUUAAAUAAAAUGACUUUUGUAAAUGAAGAAGAGUUAUGUUUAUUUAACGUUCGUAUUUGAAGAUUCAAGAAACUUUAGAAGAUGAUAGAAUAAGGGGUAUUUUAACCCCGAGUACUCCUAUAUAAAUCUUUUGGUAUUUUUGUCUGUUUUCUACACAAAAAAAAAUGUUAGCGAUAUAAAUAUAUUUAUAAAAUUCACAUUUAUAAUACGUAAAAUAUGAAUAAAUAAUUAUCAUAAAUUUAAAUUUAUGUUUUUAGUAACACUCAAUUUAAAAUUACUUAUUGUUAAUUAAUUAAAAUAAUAGAAAAUAGAAAGCCCAAGAAAAAUGUGGACAAAUUUUAGUUGAUAACAAUUUCCCUCCUUGCUUUCACCAUCGGGAAAUAAUCAACUCUCACAGUCCGAUAAAGACUCCAACCGACCAAACCUAACCAAACCAAACCCAACCACAAAAGAAGUAAUUACUAUCUAAAAGUACAGCUCAGGUAAUAGUAGAUAUUAAAUCCUCAAGGACCACAUGAUUCAUGAACGGGAAGCCUCAAAUUAUCAUUUUAUUUUCGAUAUUUCGAAAAUAUUUUAUUGGUUUUUUUAUAAAAUUAACUCAAAAAUUUUAAUUAUUACAUAGAUGACUCAUUUUUUUAUUAAACAGGUAAAUAACCUAAAAUCUACAGUGAAAGUUGGUAGAGUCAAAAGAGUUUGACGCCACCAACAUGUCAUGUCAGUAAUCGAGAUAAAAAAUUAUUUUUUUAGUGGAGCCAUGUAGAAUGACGCUAUCUAAAUAAAUAUCAGAGAAAUACUACAAUUUUUUGAAAAAAAAUAAGGGUUUAAAAAAAAUUUAUUCUUCUGGUGGAGCCAAAUAAAUUGGCACCACCAAUUUCCAAAGCUAUUUGCGUCAUCCUUUUUGCAAUGUGAUUUUUUUAAAGUUUUUUAAAAUUUUAAAUAUAUUAAAAAAUAUUAAAUAUAAUCAAUUUUAAAAUUUUAAUACAUUUAAUAUAUUUUUAAAAAUAUAUUAAAAUUUUAAAUAUAUUAAAAUUUUAAUAUUCUUAAUAUAUAUUUUUAAUAGGUGAAGACAAAAAAAUAUUUUUUUAAUAUAUUUAAGAUUUUAAAAAAUUUUAAAAAAAUUAAAUAUAUUAAAAUUUUAAAUAUAUUAAAAAAUGUUAAGUAUAACCAAUUUUAAAAAUUUAAUAUAUUCAAUAUAUUUUUUAAUAGGUAAAAAAAGAUUUUUAAUAUAUUUAAAAUUUUAAAAAAUUAAAUAUAUUAAAAUUUUAAAUAUAUUAAAAAUAUGUGAAGUAUACCAAUUUUAAAAAUUUAAUAUAUUUAAUAUAUUUUUUAAUAGAUAAAGGUAAAAAAGAUUUUUUUAAUAUAUUUAAAAUUUCCAAAAAAUUUAAAGAAAAAAAACCUCAUUGCAAAAAGGGAUGACACAAACAGCUUUGGAAUAUAGUGGCGCCAAUUUAUUUGACUCCACCAUAAAAAAAAGGAAUUUUUUUAAACCCCCAUUUUUUUUAAAAAUUAUAGUGUUUCCCUAAUAUUUAUACAGGUAGCGUCAUACUACAUGGCUCUACAAAAAAAUAAUUUUUUUAUUUCGAUUGCUGACGUGGCAUAUUAGUGGCGCUAAACUCGUUGGCUCCAACUGUAGAUUUUAGGUCAUUUAUAUGUUUAAUAAAAAAAUGGGUCAUUUACAUAAUUAAUUAAAUUUUUUGGGUUAAUUUUAUAAAAAAAGUCUAUUUUAUUCAACAUUAAAAUAAUUUUAAUAAUUUGAUCACUAUUUCUAUGAUCCAACGAUUGAUAUGAUAUCAUAAGUUCAUUGUGAUUCUAGGAGUUUAAAUGACUACUUUUAUAUAUUUUUAGCUUUUUAUUAUGUUUUUUUAAUAAUUUUUAUAUUAUUUAUAAAUUUUUAUAAGUUUUUAUAAAAAUUCAAAUAUAUUUUAUUACUUUUAUAAUUUUAUAAUUUUUUUAUAAUAUUUAUAAGUUUUUUUAUGAUUUUUUUUAAUUAUUAUAAGUUUAUAUCAAUUUCAAUAUUUUUUAAAUUGUUAAUGAUAUUUUUCUUAUUUUUAAUGAUAUUUUUUAUAUUUUUAUAUGUUUUUAUAAAAUUUUAAAUAUUUUAAAUAUGUUUUAUUCAUUUUAUAUUUUUUUUAUAAUUUAUUAGAUUUUUUAAAUAUUUAAGUUAUUUUUAUAAUAUUUAUAAGUUUCUAUAAAUUUUAAUAUUUUUAAUAUUUAAUAAUUUAAUAAUUUUAAUGAUUUUUUAAUAAAUUUUUUAUGAUUUUUAAUAGUUUUUAUGAGAAAAUAUUAGAUUAAAUAAAAAAUUGUCACAUGUUAUUAUCUGAUUGAUCCGUCAUGUCACAUCUCAAAAAUUGAGUUAGUAGAAAUUUGGUUAAUGAACUGAGUGUGGUCACGCCCAAUUUUUUUUUAGAUAACCUUAGUACAUUUGUCAAUAUAUAAGUAUCAAGCAUAGUGAUUGAAUAGUGGUGGAGGUGUCAUUGAUGAUCUGAGUUUGAAUCCCUUCUCUCUCAUUAAUUUCCAUUUGGUGUAAUUUUGCUUUAAACCUUAGUAAAAGUCACACCAUAUUUUUAAAACAAUUGUUGUAGGAAUGUGAAUAAGGAAAUAAGUUGAUUUAGUGGUUCGGAGCUUAAAUAAAUUCCUAAAUGUCGUAGGUUUAAGUAUUCACACUCUCAAAUUUCUCCUUAUUUGAUCCUUUUUUGUUUUUUUAUCUCAUUAACAUGCCUAUUUUCUUCACCUUUACCUUGUGUGAUGUACAUUGAACUUGGACAAGGUGAAUUACACAUUUUGUUUUUCAUCUUUUAUUUUUUCUCUCCAUAUUGGAGCCCCUCUCUUUUGUUCCUUCCCUCUCUUCAUUUUUUCUUUUGUUUUAGCCACCAACCACCACCUUUACUUUUUUUCUUCUCCUCUCCUUCACCACCCUUUGCCAACGAAACCCUACUAUCACCACCACCACCACUAGACCUCCUUUUUGUCACUACUCCACCUAUUCAUUUUGCUCCAACGUCACCCCUUGCACCACCACCUUGCAUCAUCGGGGAUAAAACCUUCUUUUUCUCUCAUUUUCUCUAUUUUCCCUUUUAAUUUUCUCCUUCUCCUCUCUAGUGUCGCAACACUCUUCUUUCCCUCCUCCCUAGUCGAGUUCUCGUCAGACUACUGUCGUCAUCAUUGUCGUUGCUGCGGCUCCACUGGCUUUGGUUAUUCUUUCUCUUUUCUUCAUCAUUUUUCGAUCUCCAUCACUCCUAUAGUAAUAAAAAAAUCCUAUAUCCCUAUUUUAAUUAGUUUACUUUUUUUAAAAUAUUAUACUUAAUGACUCACUUUUACAAGUGACUAUUUUUCUCUAGACUUGGUUUCCUCUCCGAUUCGAAACCCCAGUGAUCCAUCAACCCUUUCAAUCCAACCAAUAUAGAGUAAGUAUAGUGGUUGAAUGAAAACCACUAUUCCUUCCCUAAUUUUUACCUUAGGCCGAAUGUGUAUAAAAGAUCAUGGUGUAUUUUCCUUCAAGUAUUAACAUCGUGUUCUACAUUUGAUUAAUGGCCAAUCGAUACCAUCCCGAGAAACCCCUAACGUUGGCAACGAGAUCACAAUUUUCAAUUGAUUAAUUAUAAGAGUAACCUAUCGAUUAGAUCUAAGUGUGGGAGCUCUGAGAGUGGUGAUUGGCUUUGGAUCUACUAUCAUGUGUGGGUUUAAUCUAAAUAAAAUUAGAUAUACAUUAACUCUAGUAUUUAAAUAAAUAUUGUUAUUUGUAUUGUGUUUUAUAUAGAUACUUAAAGUAUUCCAAAAAAGGAGAUUAAACCCAUCGAUGUGUAUUAUACAAAUUAAGUGACCCCAACCAAUUAGUUUAUGAAAAGUAUGUUGUGUGGUUAUGAUUUUUACUGUUUGAAAAGUAUGUUAUUCUCAUUCUUAUGUUAUGUGAUAUAUUGACAUAAUUCAUUUUACAUGAAAAAUAAAUUGUGAUAUUUUGAGAUAUUGGAAUAAUACAUGAAUCACAUGUUAAACAUGCCCUACAUGAUAUUAUGUGUUAAAGAAAUUAGAUUUGUAUGUUUCAACAUGCCCAAUGAGAUAAGUGAAAGCUUGAAACCAGAAAAAUAUGUAUAUAUAUGUUCAUUGUGGCCUUAUCACAUGCAUUGGGUAGAACAUUGCAAGGAGGAAUAAUUGGUGGCUUCGCCCAUAACCUAUAUGGCAACUUGUCUGCAAAAUUGGUGGUUUAUCCACAACCUACAUGAUAGCUUGUCUGUGAAUAUUGGUUGCUUCGUCCACAACCUACAUGAUAGCUUGUUUGUCAAUUUGGUGGUUUAUCCACAACCUACAUGGUAGUUUACUUACAAAUAUUGGUGGCUUCAACCACAUAUAUUGGAGUGAUUGGAUGGAUGAGUUCUUAGGAACUCUUUUUGGAGUGUAGCGGUGAUCGGGAGGAUGUUUUAUAAAAAUUUGAAUUAUUGUUUUAUAAAAAUUGUAUUGCCAUGAUCAUGUGCAUAAAAUUGAUUAUGUUGUAUGAUAAGUAUGUGCUUAUGGUUAUUCAACUUCUUAUAAGACUCACACUGGGCUUUAAAAGCUCACCCAUUUAGUUUCAUAAUCUUUCAGGUGAUUCAUGGACGUAGGGUUUGGAUUCAACAUUCGGAGGAGCUUAUCAGAUGGAACUUUAAUAAAUGGAUUAUAAACUAUUUGAGAUGUCAUUUUAGACUUUGGACAUAGAACUUUUUAUUAGGUUGUUCCUUUACUUUAUAACUCUAAAUUGCCAUGCAUGCAUGGUUAAUGGAUUUACAAGUAUUUUGAAUUAUUGAGUUUAUUUAAAUUAAUUAUAAUUUUUACUUGAUUUUAAAUAAACUUUGUGAUUUUUCUAAAUAUUUUUAAAAGUGUGUUGCGAAAGAUUUUUACCAAAAUCAAUUUUAAGAAAUAAUUAAAAAUAUUACAAAUUCUUAAAUUUAAUGAUUUAAGACGAGACUUCGAUAUAAAAAUGAUACUUUUCAAAUACUUGGUAUUUAAAUUUUGUUAAGUGUUUUUCAAAUACUAAAUUACUCGGUAUUUAUAUUUUAAAGUUUUCGUAAAAACAACUGAAACCUAAUUAUAUCUAACAAGAAAAUGUUUUCAACAGUUGUAAUGUGACUUCCGAGAUUCGGUCAUAACGUCUAGGCCAGGUUUGAGAUGUUGCACGUCAAUUUAUUUUAACUAUUAACGUGAUCAACCACUGAUUUCAUUAAUAGAGAGGCUUAAUUAAUUAUUUUUGUUAACAAUAAAAGCUCAAUUAGGUGUGAAUUUAAUACAAAGCUUACUUGAUUUUUCACAUUUUUGUAAUUUUUUCUUGGCAUAAAAACUUUAUUUAAGAGUAUAUGUAAUAAAAGCACCAUCUAUCCCAUCAAAAUGAACAAAAGUAAAAGAAGUCCAAUUCUAAAGCUUGAGCGUUGCAGUAUCCAACUUAAAAAAUGUUCUUUUUAAAAGAAAAAAUCUUCAAAAAAAAGCUUUUAGGCCAGUAUUUUUUGUUAAUUUUUUCGUCUUCUAAUAAAAUAUCUAGUCCAUUAUUAUCAACAAAAAGUAAUAAUUAAGCUUUUGUCGUUAGUUAAAAUAAUCAAUUAAACCCUUUCGUUAACAGAAUUUAUGGUUGACUACGUUGAUUGUAAAAAAUAAAUUGAUAAAUGAAUCAAAUGAUGACAUAUGAUAAUUUAUGAUUUAAUAUGAUAUUUUCUCAUAAAAUAAAAGAAAUUAUAAAAAAUUAUAAAAUUAUUAAAAUAUAUAAAAAAUAUAAUUAAAUUGAUAGAAAGUUAUAAAAAUUAUAAAAAAUAAUAAAUAUUAUAAAAAUCAAAUUAAUUCUAAUAAAUUGUAAAUUUUUUUAUAAAUUUAACAAAACAUAUUUAAAAUCUUAUAAAAGCGUAUAAAAAUUCUUUAAAAUCUUAUAAAAAGUUCAAUAAAAAAUAUUAAAAUUGAUAUGAACUUAUAAAAAUAAUCAUAAAACUUGAAUUGAAUCAAAUUAGUAGAUUGGACUGGUUAAACAAAAUUGACAAAGGUACUAGUCCAGAGAAAGCCAUUACACCAAUUGACUUGAAAACUUGAUGUUUGAAUCGUUUUUACUUUUUUAAUAUUUUUUUAUUUUUUAAUGUUUUAUUUAAUUGAAAUGGACGGACUGAUUGAACUAGUCAAACCGAAAAACAAGUGGACUAACUAGUUCGUCUAGUAGUCUUGCUCUGAAAACUUUGGUUAGAGUAUUCAUACUAAUGGCCCCUUUGGAUGGGUGUUUACCUCCAGUGCAGUGCAUUUAGCUUUCUUUUUGUGUCACGCUAUAGUAUCACUACAAUAUCUAAUCUCAUCGCGACCGUUGUUUUUACACUAACUAUAACACCUCUAACCCGUAUUUGUCACUGGAACGAGAUUACGAAGCAUUACCGAAAUUUACAGAUCAAUUAAACAGAUAUUUCACCUCAUACAAUAUUCAUAUCAGAAAUCAAUUAAUAAGUCCCUUAUAUGAACCCUCGAGGUCCAAAAUAUACAUUAGAAACAAGUCGAGACUAAACUGAGUACUCGGAGAAUUUUUUGCAAAAUUUCAAAAUUUUUCCAAGGUGCAGGGAACACACGCCCGUAUGGUCAGGCCGUGUGGCUCACACGGCCAAUAAACACGCCUGUGUGGUCAAGCCAUGUGGCUUACACGGCCAAUAAACACGCCUGUGUUUCAGGUCGUGUGAGCAUUUAAAAUAGGGCACACAGCAGUGUCCCAAACCGUGUCCGUACCCGUGUAACUCUCUGACUUGGAUCACAUGUGGCUUGGUCGUGUGUAGAUGUCGGGGUCACAUUGCCAAAGCACACGCCCGUGUGCCAGGCUGUGUGAAAAAUAUUGAGCAUUCUAUUUUGAAUUUUUAAAAUGCAGGAUACACAUGGCAAGACCACACGCCUAUGCGCUAGGCCGUGUGUUACACACGGCUGAGAUACACACCCAUGUCUUUGCCCGUGUGGACGAAAAUAGGCCAUUUCCAAGGCCACUUACCCAAAUUGUCUUUUACCUACAUCAACACUUUAACACAUUUACAAGGCAAUACCAAUCAUUCAAAUCAAGCUAAAACCAAGUUUAAUACAUGUUAUAACAUCCCAUAUGUCUAAGUAUUCAAUUUCCCUUAAUUGAUCCAAUUCAGAUACAUGCAUAUCUUACCAAUUAUACUAACUAAAAUCAAUUAAUUAUGAGCCUAUAUAAUCUUCAUCAUAAAACCAAUUCAAAGACUCAUCAAACACAUUAUGACCAUAUAUAACCACAUCAAAAUAUGUCCAUCACAAGCCAUUCCAAUGGCUAGCUACAACCAAACAUUUACAUUGCCAUCAUUGGUCAUGUUUAGCCUAUACAUACCAUUAUAACUAUUUUUUUUGUCAUAUAUAUACCGAAAAGUCUGAGGGAUAGUGUGAUAUGGUUCUGACUAGCUUCCAACCUUUACGAGCUUCCAAGUACUAUAAAGCAGAGGAAAUAAAAUAGAGUAAGCAUUUUAUGCUUAGUAAGUUCAUAUAACAGAAAAUUAAUUAACUUACCAUCCAUUUACAUUUAAAGUAAACAUGCAAAAUUCAUCUAAAGAAAUUUGGCAAUUUGCCUAAGCACAUAUAACCUUAAAAAACAUAUUAGCCAUGUACUUCAUAUGAAUAUCAAGAACCAAGGAUGAGUUUAUCAUGUAACAAUUUUCAUAUACAUAUGUUUUCCACAUCAUAUAACAUAUACAUUUCCAUAAUAAUUCAUCUCAAGUUCAGAUUAUCCCAUGUCGGAACGUUGCCCGUUGAAUUUAUUUGAAAUAUCGAUGGAUACAUAGGUAGUACACUUGAAAUGUACAAAAUUGUAAUCCGUCAAUUCACUCAUACAAACACAUAAACAGGAAGCUUAUGUGAGCCAUAUAAAGGGAAGCUUAUCUGGGCUGUAUAACGGAAAGCUCAUAAGAGCCAUAUUCAGAAAACUCAUGCGAGCUAAUAACGGGUAACUCCGAAGAGCCAUUAAUCAAGAAGCUCUGGAGAGCCAUUAAUCAGGAAGCUUACAAAGAGCCUUUAAUCGGGAAGCUCACGAAGAGCCAUAUAUCGGGACGUUCAUAAGAGCUGCAGUGUGUCCACAACAUAUGCAAGAUCACAACCGAUUGGGAUGCUCCGAAGAGUUACUAACGGGAAGCUCGUUAAAACCGUGUAAUGAGAAGCUCGAAAGGGCUAAUAACGAGACGCUCUUUCGAGCUGUGAUGUGCCUGCAACGUAUGCAGGACCACGACCAAUUCGGGAACCCUGUAUCAAUCGAAUCUCAUUUAUCCAAAUAGGACUUAAUAUUAAUCGGACAUUGUUAGAUAUGUGAUCAAUUUUAUAUGUAUGAUAAUUUCAAAAUUCACAUAUACAACAUUCAAUUCAAACAUAUAAAUAUACACAAUUUAGUUACAUGAACUUACUUUGACAAGUAUUCGUAUACGCAAAAUCUACUAAUUCGACACUUUUUCUUUUCCACGAUCUAACUUCGUAUUUGAGUUAUCCGGAUCUAUACGAAUGAAUUUAAUAUCAAUUUAAUAUAAUUCAUAUUCAAUUCAAUCCAAUUCACAUUUUAAAAAAAUUACCAUUUUCCCCCUAUACUUUUAAUUAAUUCUGAUUUCGUCCCUAGGUUCGGAAAAUAAAAUUCAUGCAAUUUAAUCCUUAUUCCAAGCCUGGCCAAUUUUUACAUGUAACAAUAACAACCCAUAUAUUUCAAAAAAUUCAAAAUUUUUCCAUGAAUUUUACAUUUUUACAAUUUAGUCAUUAAAUCACAAUUUCAUAAAAAUUCACUUUACAAAAGUUGUUUAUCUAUCAACAACCUUUCAUUUUCUACCAUAAAACUUCAUAAUUCAUGCAUAUUCAUCCAUGGAAAAAUCUUAGUACUUUGAUAACUUUACAAAUUAAUCCCCGAGAUACCUAAAUUAGGCUAUUACAAUCUCGGAAACAUAAAAAUCAUUAAAAAUGGAACUUGAAUACUAAUUGAGCCAAAUAAGCUUGCUACCUUCAAGCUCUUCUAACUAGGGUUUUCAUGUAAAAUAAUUUGGGAAGGAUGAUAAUAUGAUGAUAUUUUCAUUAUUUUAUUACUUAUCAUCUUUAAUUAUUUUUAGUUUCCAAUUUAAUCCUUUUCUUUAUUUAAUUUUCUAUGGAUGAAUCAUCAUACUUAUCUACUAACUCCUCUUAAUGGUCUAUUUUCCAUAUAAGGACCUCAAAUUUUGAAUUCCAUAGCUAUUUGAUACUUAUAGCUACUAAAACUCAACUUUUGCAUUUUAUACAAUUUGGUCCUUUCCAUUUAAUUAGACAUGUAAUCGGUAAAAUUUUCUUAACAAAAUUUAAAUACGACAUUCCUAUCAUACGGUAAAUCAUAAAAUAAUAUUAAAAUAAAUUUUCUUUAGAACUCAGAUUUGUGGUCUCGAAACCAUAGUUUCAAUUUCACUGAAAACGGGCAGUUACACUAACCGUAGGUAAACGCAUUGUCCAUCUAAAGGGGCCCUAAGAUAUUCUAAUGAUUGGAUAAUGAAAUUUUGGUUUGAUAGUAUCUAACUAUACCAAAAAUACUUUAUAUCAUACAAUACUUAGCAAAAAAAAAAUCACUUUCAAUAUCCAAACUACUGUACUGUACUUAAAAAAUUGGAGAUAAAAGUUUUAAAAAUAAAAACAAUAAUUUAUCAAUAAAAAGGAGAGGAUCCCACAAUUAUCGUCUUAGUUUUGAAAUAUUGAGAACAUUUUAUUUAACAUGAAAAUGACCCUAACGAUCUGAUGACUAUUCUCAUUAUCCGAUGAUUGGUGUGAUGUCAUGUGCUCAUUAUGAUUUUAGAGGUUUAAAUGACUUUUUUAUUUUUAAUGUUUUUAUGAUCUUUAUAAAUUUUUUAGUAAUUUGGAUAAUAUCUUAUAAUUUAUUAGAAUUUAUUAUAUUAUUUAUAUGUUUUAAUGAAUUUUUAUAAGUUUUUAUAAAAUUUUAAAUAUAUUUUUUAAUAUUUUUAAUUUUCAAUAGUUUUGAUGAUUUAUUAUAUGUUUAUAAUUUUUUUACAAUACUUAUAAUUUUUUAUUAUUUUAUUAUAAUUUUUAUAAGUUUAUACCAAUUCCAAUAUUUUUUAAUUUUCAAUAGUUUUAAUGAUUUUUUUAUAAGUUAUUAAGAAUUUGUAUAUGUUUUUAAAAAAUUUAAAAAAUUUUGAUUUAUUUAUAAAUUUAUUAGAUUUUUAUAUUUUUAUAAUAUAUAUGAGUUAUUAUUUUUUAUAAUUUUAAUAUUUAAUGAUUUGUUUAUAUUUUUUUAUUUUUAUAAUUUUUAAUAAUUUUUAUAAUUUUUUAUGAUUUUUAAUGUAAAAAUAUUAGAUUAAAACUAAAGCUGUCACAUAUUAUAAUCUGAUUAGUUCGUUAAUUUAAUUUAAUGGUCAACAAAGUCAACAACAAAUUCCGUUAAUUGAGGGGCUUAAUUGAUAAUUUUUGUUAACAACAAAAUCUCAAUUGACUACGAAUUCAAUAUAAGAGUUAUUUUUUUUUUGUAUUUUCUUAAAGGCUUUUUCUAUAUAUAAUCCUUUAUUUAAAAAUAUAUGUAGUAAUUGUACUAUUGCCAUCAGUUAUAUGUAAUAAUUGCACUAUCUAUCCCGUCAGAAUUCCAAUACCAAAGCUUGAGUGUCUCACUAUCUAACUUAAAAAACGUUAAAAAAAACUUAUAUACGAAAAAGGCCAAAAAAAAGCAAAAAAAAAUAAGUUUCUAUAUUAAAUUUGCACUAAAUUCAUUUUUUAUGUAAAUUAAAAUAAUUAAUUAAACUCCUCUGUAAAUGGAAUUCAUAGUUGAUCAUGUUGAUAGUUAAAAUAAAUUAACGGACCAAUUAGAUGGUGACAUAUAAUAACUUUUGUUUUAAUUUAAUAUUUGCUCAUAAAAAUAUUAAAAAAAUAUUAAAAUUAUAUAAACUUAUAAAUUUUUAAAAAGUUAUUGAAAAAGCUUAAAAAAUUAUAGAAUAUAAUAAAUAUAAUAAAUUCUAAUAAAAUUUAUAAAAUUAAUAAAACAUAUUAAAAUAUAAAUUUUAUAAUAAUGUAUAAAAAUUCUUAAAAAAACAUAUAAAAAUCAUAAAAAUAUAAAAAAUAUUUAAAAUUAUUAAAAUCAAUAUAAACAUAUAGAAAUUAUAAAAAAUCAUAAAAAACUUGAAUCGAAUCGAAUCAACCGGUUGAAUCAGUUAGAUUGAAAUAACAAUAGUAUAGGUAUAGAGAAAUCCAUUAGAUCGAUUGACCUAGGAAUCUAGGCUUUUUUUUAUUUAAAAAAAAUAUUUUUUAUUGUUUUAUUUGACUGAACUGGACGGACGGUCGAAUUAGUCAAAUCGACGAACUGAUGGCUUGAUCGAUUCAACCACUAGUUUGGUUCUAAAAACCUUGGUCAGAAUUUUUCAUACUGACAUAUACUAAUAGUUGGAUAAUGAAAUUUUGGUUUGAUAAUAUCUAAUUGUACUAAAAAUACUUUAUAUCAUCCAAUACUUAGCAAAAAAUUUUCCACAACUUGAUUCUAGCAACAUUUAGGAUCUCCACUAGCUACUUUAAGUGGUAGACUCUUAUAUUAAUUGAAGAUUUAAAACUGUUGCUGCAAUAUAAGAUAGGUGCUUGGAAGGAACGAUAGGGUAGUGGGCACUUCUCUGGCACCAAAUUGUAAAUAGUAAACAAACAGAACACACAUGUAGUUUGGUUUUUUUACGUUUAUGGAGCCUAGUUCAGUGAGAAAUAUCAACUCUCUUUAACAAUUACAAUAAGUAAUUCUAACCUAUCACACAUCUUGUGACAAUUUUCCUCACAUUUGCACCUUGAAGAUCAAUACGAUCAGCAUUAAGUCCACCCUUGUGAACUCAGCAAGUAAAACCACAACACAAAUGGUUUUACUAUCAAAUAGCACCCUAAGAAAAGUUCCUUAAUCGAACAAAUUUAAAGCUCUCAAUUCAUAGAUAAAGUGGAAAUAUGAAAAUUUAGGGAUAGGGUAAAAGCACAUAAUAUUUGAGUUACCUAUAGCAGAAACUCGACUCAGCACUUGAUAUAAUGUCAAGUUUUGAUUGAUUCAAUGAGACAAAAUACAUCAUCAACAUGCGACUGCUAAAACUAUAAAAUAAUAAAUAGUAUAUCGUGCUAAGAAAAAAGUGCUAGAUACCGGUAAUGGUAAGAGGAAGGAUGAGUAAUAUACUCUUAGAAGACCCAUAACAUAAAUGUGUUAGAGUGUUAUAAUUAUGGGAACACUCUUAGGAUCUACCUAUGUGAGUGUGAAGCGUAGCCGCUUCUAAGAGCUUUAGGGCUUGACCUUAAUAGCACUCAUGAAAAGAGGUUACAAACACAUGACCAUAAUAAUGUCCAUGAAUACUCUGCAUUGACUGCUGUUGUAACCAUUGUGUGAGAUGUGUUCGGUUAAUCAAAUGGAAUAAUCGGUUCAAAACAUAAUCUACUAUGAAAUUUUGAUUAACUUUAACAUGUCUUCACUAAGUAAAUGUUCAAUUGUAUAACACUUUCACUUAUGCAAUUGAUUACCAAGAUUAUCAAAAUCUAAAAUAUUUAAAAAAUGGAAAGAGAUUGUUGAAACAUAUUCAAAAUACUUAUAAUGUUUCAAUAAUUAUAAUUGAAAAGUUAACUCAUUAAUUCCUAUAAAUAGGAGUGGAAACACAUGUAACUCAUGCGUUUUUGAAGUUUUUAAUACUUUAUAUUAUGUUAUUUUUAUAUAUUAUGUAAUUUAGAACACAUUAAAAAAAUAAACCUAUACUAAAUAUAUAAUACUACUUUAAUAUAAAUAUUAAAAUGAUGUUAAGAUGACUAUAUAAAAACUUUCAAAAAAAUAAAAUAAAAUAAAAAUUAAAAAAUAGUAUGAGCUAGCCUAAAAUGGGUUUGAGUUAUUUUUUUAUAAAUAUGAAUAAGUUUAGAAAAAAUUUUAGUCCCAAUAUUUCAAAUCGAGCUAGACUUGAACAAACAUAAAAAAAAAAAUAUAAUAACAUGUUUAAACACGCCAGGACCCAACCCUUCAAUACCUCUAUAUGCAUCAAGCCUCCUAAACACCUCCACAAUGAUCAUAACCGUCACAACCAACUCCCCUCAUUUAUUUAUUAGCUCUUUUAAAAUAUAUCUAACAAAUCCUCCGUUUCUUUAAAUAUGACCCAUAAAACUUAAAAGACAUACUUGAAGCUUGCAUGAUCUUGCUUUAAUCUUUGCCUUUUGUUUUUUGGGAGAAAGAGAGUGGUUGGCAUCUAAAAGUCCAAUUCAGAAUUUGACACAAUUAAACAGUUUGAUAUUACAUUCCCAAUAUUUGAAUCAAGCCAAUCUUCAGUUUAUAUAUAUACCCUUUAAAGAGAAGCUUAAUUUUUGUAGCUGUUGGUCUGUUUUUGCUUGUAGAACAGUUGCUUCCAUGGGGGUUUCCUCCUUGUUCCUCCAUGACCUGUUUCUUCAUUAAAAUUUAAAAGGAUAUUGCAUGAGAUCUAACUUUGAAAUGACUGCUUGAUGUAAACUCUGAAAUUUGCUUUACUACUAAUAUAUGGUAGGUAAAUGUCAGUGUCAUGUUUGGGGCUAAUGAUAUAUGAUACUAUCAAAUGUUACAGAAUUGCUUCGUUGGUUCCAAGUUUCACCCAUGAAGAUAAUGUGAGUUUUGUGCUAUUAACAUAGAAAUAAGUUCAGAAUCACGUCCAUUAUGGGACAUAGAAUAGCAUUCAUGUAAUAUAGAUUUCAUUGUUUAAAUAUAAAGCUUUGACUUAUCUUUGACGCCACUCUAAAGUUGCUCUAACAACUGGGUCUGCAUCAUACUGAAGUCUAAAAUGAAGCUAUGGGUUUCUUUAUAUAUAUAUAUUAAACAGAGAUAGUUUCCAUCAUCUAAUUAAAAAAAAAAGUACACACCAAACACCCCUUUGCCUUUCACUAUAUAUACACUCUUUUGUAUUCUUCAAUGAAUACAUACUCAAGGAGUAGUUCAUAAGUUCACUCAAACGGAAGAGAAAUCAGACCAAGAAAAAGAAAUGGGAGUUUUUCUUCUUUCAUCACCAGCAUUUCUGGUUUUCUUCUCAUUUUUCACUUUCUGUCUACUUGUUGACCCCGUACUUGGGAUCACCAGGCACUACAAGUUUGAUGUAUGUAUUAAUUUGAUAGGAUUAUCAACCAAAUAUAUGUUUGAUUGUGACUAGGUGUACCUUACCCAUUUUGUAGGUCAAGCUGCAUAAUGUAACACGUUUGUGUCAUACAAGGAGCAUUGUUUCGGUGAAUGGACAAUUUCCAGGGCCUCGCAUUGUAGCAAGGGAGGGUGAUCAGCUUCUCAUCAAAGUGGUCAACCAUGUGCCUAACAAUGUUUCUAUCCACUGGUAUUGAAGUUUACUUUGAAAAUGACAUUAUGCAGAUAUUACAUUUACAUGCUGAAUAAAUUAUCUAUGCUUCAUGAGGGAAGGUCUAAAGUUACAUGCUAGAUAUGGUGAUGUCUUUUCGAAACAGGCAUGGCAUUCGACAGCUUCAAAGCGGUUGGGCGGAUGGGCCUGCAUAUGUGACUCAGUGUCCCAUACAAACUGGCCAAAGCUACGUUUACAACUUCACCAUUAUAGGCCAAAGAGGGACUCUCUUCUGGCAUGCCCAUAUAUCAUGGCUAAGAGCCACUCUUUAUGGUCCCAUUAUCAUUCUUCCCAAGCGUGGCAUACCUUACCCUUUUGCUAAGCCUUACAAGGAAGUUCCCAUUGUCUUCGGUAAUGAAAUCAUAAUGAACCGAUUCAUUAAGAUUCUACAUUUAUUUUGCUAACUCAAAUUGACAUGAACCCCUUUAUGAUAAAAUUGCAGGAGAGUGGUUCAAUGCAGAUCCUGAGGCUGUUAUUAGCCAGGCACUCCAGACUGGUGGGGGUCCAAAUGUCUCUGAUGCUUAUACCAUCAAUGGUCUCCCUGGACCACUUUAUAACUGCUCAGCCAAAGGUAAUAAAUAGCUAAAAUUUUGUCUUAAGCUUUAGACAUACACAUACAUGCACACAUACAUUAUAGAGCUAUGGGAUUCGCUUGUGGACUAACAACUUUGACAGAUACAUUCAAGCUGAAGGUGAAGCCUGGAAAAACUUACCUUCUUCGUUUAGUCAAUGCGGCACUCAAUGAUGAGCUCUUCUUCAGCAUAGCAAAUCACACACUAACUGUUGUUGAUGUUGAUGCCGUUUAUGUUAAACCAUUUGAGACUGAAACACUUCUCAUCACCCCUGGUCAAACCACAAAUGUGAUCCUUAAGACUAAACCAAGCUAUCCAAAUGCCACUUUCUUCAUGACUGCUAGACCAUAUGUGACAGGCCAAGGAACAUUCGAUAAUUCAACUGUUGCCGGUAUUUUAGAAUACGAGUCAUCACCCAAUAGCCUUCAUUCGAGCAUAAUGUUGCCCUUGUUUAAACCAAUUCUACCUGCUUUGAAUGACACUUCCUUUGCUACAAAAUUCGCAAGUAAACUCCGUAGCUUGGCCAGUGCACAAUAUCCUGCCAAUGUGCCUCAGAAGGUUGAUAAGCAUUUUUUCUUCACUGUUGGUCUUGGAACCAGCCCAUGCCAGCAUAACCAAACCUGCCAAGGACCUAAUGGAACCAAGUUCGCAGCUUCAGUGAAUAAUGUAUCGUUUGCAAUGCCGACUACAGCAUUACUCCAGGCUCAUUUCUUCGGCCAAUCUAACGGAGUUUACACCCCUGAUUUUCCUAGCAGUCCUAUAACUCCAUUUAACUAUAUAGGCUCACCACCUAACAAUACUAUGGUAAGCAACGGAACAAAGGUAGUAGUGCUUCCUUUUAAUACUUCCGUGGAGCUAGUUAUGCAGGACACGAACAUUCUUGGAGCUGAAAGCCACCCUCUUCAUCUACAUGGCUUCAAUUUCUUUAUUAUCGGCCGAGGUUUUGGAAACUUUGAUCCAAAUAAGGACCCCGCAAAGUUCAAUCUGAUUGACCCUGUUGAAAGGAACACUGUUGGCGUGCCAUCAGGAGGUUGGGUUGCAAUUCGUUUUCUAGCCGACAAUCCAGGUAAGUGACAUGUUAAACACCAAUUAGAUUCAUCAAAUGCUUGCUUUGAGUUGAUGACCAUUGACAACAAGAACCACAUGCAUGCAGGGGUAUGGUUCAUGCAUUGCCAUCUAGAAGUGCACACCAGCUGGGGCUUGAAGAUGGCUUGGAUUGUCUUGGAUGGUGAACUUCCUACUCAGAAAUUGUUGCCUCCACCAGCAGAUCUUCCUAAAUGUUGAUCGAUAUGACACUUCUUGUGUUAUUUUGGCCAAAAACCUGCCUGAACUUUUUUUUUUUUAAUUUCAGCCAUUUUGAUUUGGUGACUUUUUUUUUUUUUUUUUUGCUUUUGUUUCUGUUUUUGGCAUUGGCCUAUCAAUGGUCCAAAUUUGUUUUCUUGAUUCUUGCGAAGUUAGGACAGUCAGCAAGCAAUUUAUUUUGUAACAGGAUCUGCAAAUUGUCAAUACAAAGAAAUCUCAAUAAUUUAUUGGCAUCCUUUUGUUCAAUCAAUCCUAGCCUCUGAAGCAUAUCUGUACAAUUUGCAACUCCUCCGCACUAAAUUUAUUCCUUUAUUUUCGUUAAAAUACCAUUUCCCUGACUGAUCAGCUCAACCUGAAUCAUACCAACUUAAAUCUAAUAUAUUCUUGGAUAAUUGGAUUAUCUUUCUAAUCGUUGGAACAUUUUGAUUUUCAAAAUAUAUAUAGUGUUUCAAUAGUUGCAAAUGAAUAGUUAUAAGUUAGCAAAAGUUAUAUCACUUAAUUACUAAACAAAAGUUGUCACUAUUUAUAGUGAUUAGUUAUGUCUCUUAGGCUCCGUUUGUUUGACUGAAAAUAGUUUCCGGAAAAUAAUUUCUGGAAAAUGACUUACUGUUCUAGAAAAAGAGUUAAUAUUUUUUGGUAUUUGGAUGAAUAUGUGCAAAAUAUUUGCUGUUGUUUGAUAGAUUUCCUGAAAAUAUUUUAUAAAAAUUGUUUUCAAUAAAACAAACAUACAUUUGAGAUUUUAUUAUAUUUUUAUUGUUUAAUUGAGUUUAUUUCCUAAAGCUUAUUUAUAUUUUAAUUAAUCAUGUUUUAGUUUUAAUUGAUCUUAAUUUACUUAAUUAAACUUAAUUGUUAAUUUCAUACAUUAAGAAAUAUAAAUUUACGUUUAAUUAAGUUGAAAGUGGUAAAUAUUUAUUUUGAAUAUUAUUUGGAUGAGUAAGUCGAAAAAUGAUUUAAUUUGAUAAAAAUUGAAGGACCAAAUUGUAAAAUUUGUAGAAUUUUGAAAUCUAAAGGUUUGAGUAGUGAAAUCUGAAACAAUGAUGUAGUAACUAAAUUAUAUGGUCAUGAAAUAUGAAAAUUUGGAAAGUUGAGCAUAAAAUAGUAAAGCUUGAAAUUAUAGGGGUUAAAUUGUAAAGAUUUCAAAACUUGAGUUUUAGGACUAAUUUACAUUAUUUGAGAAUUUACAAUUUUGAAAAAUAGAAUAUGAAAUUUUAACUGUUCAAAAAUCAAGGACUAAUUUUUUGGAAAUUUUGACAAUUUUAGUUGUAAGGACUAAAUUAUAAAAUCUAGAAAGUUUAGAAAAGGGAUUGUUUUGCAAAAUUGUACAAAACGAGGUUUAGGACUAAAUUGUAAAAUAAGAAAAUCUACUUUUGAGGAAUUAAAUUGUAGUCUAGUAAAAAUUUUGAUUUCAAGGAGUAAAUCAUAAAAAAUAUAAAAUUAGAAUAUAAGAGACUGAGCUUCCCCUUCGUUGCUCUGAAAGCUUCCCCUUUUUGUUUUUUCGAAAGUGAAGACAAUGAACAAAGCCUUAUCAGUUUAGAAAAUGUCUUACAGAAAAAGAAAUUGGUAAAGACAUUUUCGUUAAAAAAGUUUUGGUGUUACCCUUUUCAAGGAAAAUGAUUUCGUUUGGUAAUUCAUUUUCCAUCAAACAAACACCGUAAAACAAUGAAAAUGUUCUACGGAAAAUAUUUUACAUGCAAAUAAACAAACCCUAAGUUUAUAAUAUUUUACAUCAUGUUAUUUUUUAUAUAUUAUGUAAUUUAAAACACUUUAAAAAAAUAAAUCUAUACUAAAUAUAUAAUACUACUCUAAUGUAAACAUUAAAAUAUUGUUAAGAUGACUAUAUAAAAAAUUCAAUAAAUAAAAAAUAUAUAACAUUAUUAAAUAUUAAAAUACCGCAAUAUAAAAAAUUUAAAAAAAAUUAAAAAUAAUAUGGAUGGACCUAAAAUGGGCUUAUGGGUUAGUCUUUUGUAAAUAUGAGCAAAUUUGGGCAAAAUUUUAAACCCAUAUUUCGAGUUGAACAGGGCUUGGGAAAACAUAAAGUAUGUUAAUAUCAUGUUUAGGCCCGAUCUAAUCCAGCCCAUGAACACUUCUAGUUAGAACUCGGAAGUUCUUUUAAUUAUCUAAUUAUAAAAACAAAUUUUUAUAAAUAUUAUUUACUCUUUUAAUAACUUUUCACUUUUUAAAUAUAAUGUUAUUUUACUAAAAUAUUAUUAAAUUUAUUAUUAUUUAUCAAAAUAUAUAAUAAGGAUCUUAACUUAUUAAAAAAAAAUCAUGAAUCUUUUCUAACACAUCAUUUAUAGUCCCUAACCAAUUAUAUAAGGUUUAACUCACAAAUUGAUACAUAAACUAUAUUAUUUUUCCAAUCUUGAUACCCAAACUUUUUUUAGUCACAUGUGAUGCAUAAAUUACUUUUCUUUCCCAAAUUGGUACCUCCGAUAAGUAAACCAUUAAAUGUAUUUAAAAAAUAAGCUUAACCCAUAAAUUGGUACCUAAGCUACGCAUUUUUUCCAUUUUGGUACCUAAACAUUUUUUUAGUUACAAGUGGUACCUAAACUACUCUUUUUCCUAAGUUGGUAUAUAUGCUAGUUUAAUUGUUAAUUAAACUGUUAAGCCUAUUUUUGGAAAAAAGAUAAUAAUUAAAAAUUGACAUGUGGCAAAAAAGGUAAAAACUAUUAUUUUCUCUAAUAUAUAUAUUUCUUUCUUUAGAAUCGGACUGAUGGUCAAAUCGGUUAAGCUACCAAAUUUUAGUUUGAUAAGUUUUUUUGGUUCGAUUAAAUAUGAUUAAAAAUUUAUAAUAUAAAACAUUAAAAAUAGAUAAAACAUGUUCAAUUGUCUUUUUAGCUUAAUUCAACCAGCUUGUAUCGAUUUCCGAGUCAACCAGUUCAAUCCUUAUUUCGAUUUGGUUUUGAAAACACUAGUUAUGAUCAAUGAAAUUAAUUGCCAACAUCUCGACAUCAAGACGGCAAAUUUUAAGCCUUGUUAGUAUUGUCAUACAUUAUAAAACGAAAAGGAAAUGAAAAGAAAUGAAAAUAGAAAAAAAAAAGAAUUAAAAAAUAUUUUUUAAGUUUAUAUGACGUGGCAAAUUAUUAUUGGUUGGAAUUGUUUUUAAUAGACAUAACAUUUAUGUGUAAAAUGGGUAACAAAAGAAUAGUUUAGGUACCAAAAUAGGAAAGACGAACAAUUUCACUAAUGGAGAUACCAACUUGAGAAAAAAAUAAUUUAGAUACAAAACUUAGAAAAUUGGUAUAACUUAAGUACGGAUUUAUGAACUAAGCCAUUAUCCAGUUACAUAUAACUUUAAAAAAUAUUUUAUUUGUUGACACCACUUUAAAAAAAAAACAUUUUUUUACAAAUGUAAAAUAUUAAGCUGUUAAUGAGUCAAUUGACACCACUAUAAAAAAAUUUGUUGACACCACUAUAAAAAAAAAUUUGUAUUCGGUAUGGUAUUUGUUUAGUAUUAAAAAAAUAUUCGUAUUCUUUUGGGUGCUACUUGACUAGUGGACAACACCACUUAAAAAAAUAUUUUUUUACUUCACUGGAAUGAAAAAGCUUGGGGAAAUUUUAGAGUGUCGUUGCCAGACACAUUAGCGAUACCUAAAAAUAUUGUAAAAACUCACCCAUUUUUAUAAUUAAUCUACAUCUUAUGGAUUUUUUACAAAAAUAAUAUUAAAAAAUAAUUAAUUACAAAAUGGGUUGGAGACAAAUUAUUUAAGAAAAUGGGUUGUUUGUUACUGUGCAAAUCGGUGCAUCCUGACAAAUCGGCGGCACCAACCAACAUUUCGGCCAAUCAUUACGUUUAAUUUUUUUAUUGGUGCCAUUGUGUCAAGCAGCACCGAUGUGUAUUUUUUUUUCAAAAAAAUAUUCAUAUUUUCAAGGGUCUACACCUUGAGAGAAAAAUGAAAAAAAAAUUUACCACUUUAAAUUUUUUUUUACUUCACCAGAAUGAUCGGUAGAAGUUGGGGGAAAUGCUAGGGUGGUGUCGCCCAACACAUUGGAAGCACCCACAUAAAAAAGAAUAUUUUUUUAUUUUUUCUCUCAUUGUGUAUAUCCGUGAAAAUACGAGCAUUUUUAAAAAAAUAUACACUAUAGUGUCGUCUGACACAGUGACAACAUCAAUAAGUUUAAAAAAAUGUAAUUAUUGGCUGAUGAUUGGUUUAAAAAUUAGGUGAUAUCGUUGGUGUGUCAGGUGGCACUGAUUUGUAUUGUAGCAAACAACUCAUUUUCGUGGAGGGAUCACAUUGUAUGCAAAAAAGGCAUGAGAUGCAUCAUUGGUAGGAAACAUGUGAAAAGAUCCAUAGCUUGAAUUAUGUCCAAACUAAAAAUCUCGGUCAAACUAAAAAAAAGUUUUGUAGCUUACAUGAAACAUGAUCUAGAUCUGUCUACUUUUAACAAAUUAUAUUUAUACAUUUUAUGAGUUUUAUUUAAUUUUCAAGAACAAGAAACCUAAUUAUUUUAAUUGCUUUAUUGUAUAUUAUUAGGGGAACUUAGUUUUCAAGUCUCUCACAAUGUCUACAAGUUUCAUGCUUGCUACUGUCAUAUUGCUGAUGAUUCUUUCUGGUUCUUACUUUAAAAUUCUCAAGAUUCAAUGUUGUUUUCAUUUUGAUUCUCUUAUUCUUUUGACCCAUAGACAAGUAUCUUUGGCCAUUGAUUAUCUUGAUGGUUGCCUACUAUAGUUAUCCCAUUAUAGCUUAAACAUUGAAAAACUCUAACAUUAUUUUAUAGAAGCUUUAAAUUUGAUUAUUAGAUGUAAUUAAGUUUGCAAUUAAGCAAACAAAGCUCUAAACGACCUAUUGCGGUGCUGAUGUGGCGUUGUGCCGCUUUUUAAUAAUUGUUGCGGCGUUACAUAACAGAUUUUAUCCGCAACGAUCGUGAUGCGAUUUCUUUGAUGCGUUGCGCCGAUAUUGCAUCACGGUAGUUUCUAUUUCAGUUACAAUGAAGCCAUUACGUUGCGUUGCGGCCGCAAUUUAAUACUUUGGAACCGUAGUGGGAAAAAGCCAAGCCCUUGCCACCGUAGGUCAAGUACUCAGUAGAUUGGAGGAUAGGCCUAAAAGUAAAAACGAGGUCAUGGGACUUGAGGAAUAGUUCAGCAGCUUCAAGUGAUGAUACCACAAUGUCUAAAUCAAUGUGAAGUCUAUUAUGCCACUAAGUCAAUAAAUAUAAUUUCCAAAUAAUUAUAUGCAAUAUUCACUUCAGGGAAUAUGCCAAAAUCUUCAAAUGUAGGGCAUUUGGUGUAGCAGCCCGAUUUUGGGCCUAGUCGGAACAGUGGUUUUGGGACCACUAUUUCGAGGCCAGAGAAAAUUAUUUUAGUAUUAUUUUAUGUGUUAUAAUGUGAAUUUAUAAGUGCAUGUAAAUUUUGGUAAGUUAAUUUUAGCAAUUUCUAGUCCAAUUUCGAAAAAGGACUAAAUCGCAUAAAAGGUAAAAGUUGUGUUUUGGUGCCUAAAGGUGUUUAAUAGCUAGAUAAGUAAAAUUGGGGGCUUUAAAAUGGCAAUUAGACUCUUUUAUUGAGGUGGCCGGCCAAGGGAGACAAGAUUGGUUAAAAAGCCAUAUUUUAUGGGAUUUAAAGUGAUUUUUUGGUUAAUAAAAUAAAUAAAGAAAAAGUUGUCAUUUUCUCUUUCAUUUUUUUCUCUUCUCCUCCACCGAAAUAUGCAGCAAAGAAAGGGUUUUGAAGCUGGAAAAUUUCAGCAACAUAUUUCCCUUGCUUGUAAGUGAUUUUAAUGUCUUUGCUUGACGAUUUUUACAUUUUUGGAACCCCUAAAGCAUGAGCUUUCAUAAGAGGGGACUAUUUUGAAAAAUGAUAAAGAGUAUAGGGUUUUUCCAUGAGAUUAAAUAUGUUGUUUGCUGUGUUUUUAUGGAAGAUUAUGAGUCCUAGUUGUCUAAUAAACAACUUUUGUGAAAGAAAUUGCAUGAAAACACCUUAAAAAGGGCUAGAUUGCUAAGUUGUAAAAUGAGUUGUAAAUGUGUAAAAUAGUUGAAAUUAUGAGUUGCUAUAGCUAUGAAAAUGGUUCAUCUAGACUCAAGGAGUAAAGAAAUGUGAUAAAAAUUAUUUUACGAGCAUUGGGGCAAAAGUGAAAAUAUGCAAAAGUUUAGGGGUCAAAAUGAAAAUUUGUAAAAAUAUGAUUUUUAGACCCAUAUGAAUAUGGUGACUGAUUGGUAGGCUAAAUGUGAUAUUAUAGAUCAAUGAAAUCGAGAUUUGGACCUAGAACGGAAAGAAAUCGAUUAAGGGAUGAUUAUGUCCUUUUUACCUUUGUGGUAUCAAGGUAAGUUGAUAUGUAAACAAUACCAUGCUAUACAUGUAUUUAAAUGUUAUCAUUACAUGAAUUGUACAAAUCUUAAUGUGUAUGUGAUUAAUAGAAAUAUGAUGAGACAAAGCCUUAAUAGACGAGGAAAAAUCCCGUUUGAACCUUAGGAAUAGAAUAGGAUACGAGUGACAUGUCACUAGGAAUUAUGAGUCUAGAUGACUAGCUCGAGAGUGAGCAUUGAAAUGUCAUGGGAUAUGAGGUAGCUUUAGCUACAAUUGAGGUACUUAUGUGCAAAGGCUUUUCCGAGUAUCCAAUUAGUAUUCCAAGUGUUCAACGGGUAAUCCGAGGAAAGAGUUGAUGAUGGUCCCAAUGAGGUAAGUCAUUGGUGAGUAUGCACUUGAGUUAUGUUACGAGUUGUGCAAGUAUGUAUACUAAACCUAUGAGAAUGCCUUGAUAUGUGUUGAUCUAUGAUGCAUAAAAUGUGUUCUUACCAUGAUGGAUGAAAUGAUGUUGUAUCAAUUUUGUGAACAAUGAUCAUGAAUGAGUAACUUAGCCUUGACAGAUUUGAGUUAUUGCAGUAGUGUAACUUUGAAAAUACACUAAAAAUAGUGGAAAAUGAGUUAGAGGCAGAAUAAAAUAUGGGAUUAAAUCUUAAUGAGUCUAUUUUCACAUGAAAGAAAUAUGGGAAGAAAAAGAAUUCUAUAUUGUGUGAUAUUUGAAUUCUUUUGAAACAGGGUCUGAAUGAAUUCGAGAUCCCCUGUUCUAAAUUUAUAAAUUCACAAUAAAUUGUAGAAAAAUUAUUAAGAGUCAUACCUUAUAUUCAUGGAUUUUUUAUUGAGUCUAUUUUUAAGGGAAAUAAACGACAUGGUCAUUGGAAUUCUGUACAGGGAGAAAUUUGGUUCGUAGUGCACAAGGGUCAGAGUAGUUAUACCCUGAAAUAGGGAAGACUUUAACUAAUAAACUGUACUAAAUGGCUCGACCAAAAAUUCUGGAAAUUUUAUGGAAGAAAGAUAAAUGAGCCUAGUUUCAGAGAAAAUUUAAGGAACUUAAUUUAGAGUUUUAUAGCUCCAGAGAUAAAUAAUUUAGUGACUAUUUCUCAGGAAGACAACUUACAGUGAAAUUAUGAUUAUGUGGUAAACAUUGACAAAAAUUUGUUAAUGAGUUGCUUAUUGAUUUCUUAUAAGCUUACUAUGAUCUGUAGGUGUGAAAUUCGAAUAUAUUAAAUAUAUAUAUUAUAUUUUGAAAGUGAUGCUUGAAUAGUCGAAUAAUGACUAGUUUAAAGUUGUUGAAUUUAAGCUCAAGAGCAUAGAAGGGCAAAUUCGGAUAAGGGAAAAGAGAAAGUAAUCGAAUAGCCGUUGUAAUCGUACGACAACAUUCGAGGUAAGUUCAUAAGUAUAUAAAAAUUAUUGUGAGGUUGAAAUAUGUAAUAUGUGUAUUAGAUUUGAUGCACUACGUGUGCGAUAAAGGCAAUAACUACAACAUUUAAAAUGGCGCUGGGUGCGUGAGAUUGUAAUAGCAUUGGCUGAGUAAAUGGAACUAUGUGGGUGACAUAGAUAUAAGUUCGGUUUAAUGUAAUGGCACUAAGUGUGCGAUAUAAUUAUAGCUUCCGCUAAUUAAUUGGCACUAAGUGUCGAUAUAAUUAUAGAUUUGGCUAAUUAAUUGGCACUAAGUGUGCGAUACAAUUAUAGCUUCGGCUAAUUAAUUGGCACUAAGUGUGCGAUACAAUUAUAGCUUCAGUUAAUUAAUUGGCACUAAGUGUGCGAAACCAUUAUAACUUCGAUUAAUUAAUUAGCACUAAGUGUGCAAGUUUGUUGAAUGUUCAAGGAUGAUUGAAUGAAUUAAUGUUUCGAGCAUUGAAAUGAUAAGCAUGACAGAUAAGAAGGUAAUGGUACAGGUAUGUACGAAACCUAUGUGGUGGAUGAUGUUAAGUAUGAAGUAGAUGAAAAUUUAUGUAAAUGAAUGGGGAAAUAUUAUUCGGGCCUUUGAGCCUAGCAGGCUAUAAUGUCAGUGAGAUACUAUUCGGGCUUUCGAGCCUAGCAGGCUAUAAUGCUGGUGAAAUGAUAUCGGGCCUCGAGCCUAGUAGGCGAAAUGCCGAUGAUUUGAGAAAAGUCUAAGACUAAGGUACCUCGUGUUAGAUUGACAAAUGAAUACAUUCAAUACGUUAAGAGGGCCAGGUACGCAUUAUGUACUCAUAUGUGAGUUUGAUUUGAAUUGAAUCAUAAGUGUGAUGUGAUACAUAUGUGAAUAAAUGUUAUAACUAUAUAUAUGACCAUGAUACAUUCGGUCAAGGUGUGAAAGUAUGUGAAAGUAUUUGAUUUAUUUAUGUUAUAUGAAUUCUGAUUAAGUGUUAUAAGAAUGAUGAAUAUGCAUUAUGUGCUUGUGUAUAUUCGGCCAGAUGGCAAUAUACUUAAAAUAUGGCCUCUUGAGAAAUUGAAUAAUCGAAGUAUAAUUGUAUUUAUUUGUUUGCGGAGUUCGCCGGAGAUAUUAUCACACUGUCGAGCUAACACUAUGGGUGUAGUGAUUUCAAAUACUUUGAGUCUAUGGCAUGUAUAGGUGUGUAAAUAUUAGAGUAUGUGAUUUGGCUUUAACCAUAUGUGUUGGCCUAUUUUGAUUAUAGGGUUGUAAAUCUAUUUUAAUUAUGCAUGAAUGUGCUAUGGUAUUAUGUGACGAGUUUAUAAUGAUUAAAGCAUGAAUUUUCCAAGUUUUUCUUAAGUUCUCGGUUUAGUCCCGAACCACCCCAGAUAUAUGUUUUGGGUCUCGUGAACCCGUUUAAGGGACAAGAUUGUAUGUGAAAAGAAAAGUUUUUAAUUAUUUGAGAUUUCAUGGCCCUGUUUAGUGUAGAAGUGUUAGUAAAAUUCAAGUAGCACCUCGAACCCCGUCCUAGCGUCGGAUGCAAGCGAGGGGUGUUACAUUUGGUCUAGUGGUAUGAUUUUAGCUUCGGACGCGAGAAGUCUUGUAAUAGCUCGAUUUUUAGUGGUGUCGGAAACAGUGGUUUCAGAGCCACCAAAUCUGGCAAGUAAGUUUGUAAAUAUUAUAUUUAAUAUUUAUGAGUUAUUUUUUAUUUUAAAAAGGUUUUUGAUAUAGUGAUUUUUGUUGUAUAAAUGAUUUAUUAAGUUCAAGUGGUUUUAGAAAAUGAGGUAUUGAGACCUCGUUUCUAUAAACCGAGCCGCAAAUAUUUAUAAAUAUUUAUGGAGUGUAAUUAAGGUGGUAUUAAAUUUUUUUUGGAAAAUUUUAUCGUUUCGAUAGUUAAUUAAGCAAAAAGGGCUAAAUCGCAUAAAGUGUAAAAGUUGUGUUCUAUAAGUAAAGGUAUUAAAUAGCUAUAGAACUUUAAAGUGGAAGUCCUUAUACGGUAAAUAAACCAUUAAAGGUGAUAGUGGAUGUGCAUAGCUUGGCAUUAGUGUAAUUUUUAAAUAGGUAAAAGUAAAAUAGUAAUUUGAUUAUUAAAUUAAAUUAAAUAAAAACCAAAAUGUUAUAUCAUCAUUUUGGUGUCUUCUUCAAGAAUGAAAAGGAAAAAGAGAAGCCAUGGAUGCUGGAAAAUUUCAGCCAUGUUUUUUCAUUGCAUGUAAGCCCUUAAGCUAUUAAUUUCUUGUAAUUUUUAUGUUUUUGAGAGCGUUGCAAUUAGGUCCAGCUAGCCCGUACCUUUGAUUUUAAACUGUUAAAGAUUUUGAAUGUUGCCAUUGAUGAAUCUUGUGAUUUUUGAUGUUAGAUGAUGAAUUUGGAAUGUUGAUUUAUAUUUAAAAGUAUUUUGUUAAGUGGUUUUGAUGAAUUUUUUGAUUAGGGACAAAUUUGUUAAAUUAAUAAAAGUACAAGGAUUAAAUGUGAGAUUUUUGCAUAAAUGGGAUGUUUUGGAUACCAGGAAUUUUUUUCUAAGCUCAAUUUGGGGUAAAAAUGGUUAAUUUGCAUGUUUUGGGCUCAGGGACUAAAUUGAAUAAAAGUAAAACUUUAGGGAUAAUUUUGUAAAAAUGUCAAAAAUGAAAAAAUUGUAUGAAAUGAAUUUUUUAUUGUCUAAAUUAAUAUAUUGAAUGAAAUUAUUAAUUUAGAUCAAGAUCGGGUGAAAAAUCGAGUUAAAUAGUAAAUUAUCAAAAUGCCCCUGAACUUUGGUAUUUCUGUAAUUUAGCCAGGUAAGAUUUUAUGAACUAUACUAUGUAUAUUGUUGAUUAAAUUGGAUAUAUAUAUUAUACAAUUUAGCUUAUAAUGAAACGAGGAAAAUUCAACAACGCACAACGACUAUCGAGUCUCGUUUGAACCUUAGGAAUAUUUAGAAUACGAAUGACAUGUCAUUAGGGGUUACCGUGUUAUGGGUGCUGGUCUUAUAUGUCCUAUCGAUGGCUGAGUUUCCAGCAUUUGUUGCGGUUACUUGACAGCUUGUGUUAGCAGCACCAUGUAGCUACGUCUCGACUGACAGCUUGUGUGAGCAGACCCAGUUAUGGCUCAAGUGAGAGCAUUGAUAUGAGAUAUGAGAUAGUAGUGGCUUCGACCACGUGUAGGCACAUAGUGUGCGAGACUCCAUUGUAUCCGAUAUUAUUCUAAGUGGUUUAACGGGAAAUAUGCUAUUACGAGACGCUAUGAGUUUGAUACAAACUAAUACUAGUAUAUACAUGAAAUAUAUGGAAAUGAUGGUACAUGAUAUAUUGAUAUAUUGAAAUGGAUGAUAUAUGUAUAUGAUGAAACGGAAAGAUAAUGAUAUGUAUCAUGACAUGCACAUAUAUGAAUAUCUUUGAUAUAUUGAUACAUGAUAAUUAUGUAAGUUGAGACAAGUAAUGAACUCAAUUGUGACAUGUUGAGAAAAUAAAAUUAUCAAUGUUGAAUUUAUAUGAAAUAUGUUCAAGUACGCUAACAUGUGUUGCUGUUUGAUGCUUAGGCAAGUGCCAAGCUGUUGGCUGAAUGAUAUUAUGUUUACAUAUAAGUCGUAUUGAAAUGGUAAGUGCUCAAAUGAAAAUAUGCUUAUACUCAUGAAAAAGUGAUAAUGUUUAAAAAUUAUGCAAAUUCUUAGGAAAUGGUUUAUCAUGUGAUUAAUUCUAAAAGAGCUAUGCUUAAAUGCACUACCUUGUGGCUAUGGUUGAUGAUAUGCUUGUGUCUUGUGUACUAUGUAUAUGAAAUGAGUGAUGAAAAAGAGAAUGAUGAGUUGAAUUGAUGAUGUUAUUUAAGCUAAAGAAAGUAAAUGUAAUGGAAAGUAAUGACAUGCAAAUGAAAGGAAGAAAAUUGAAAGAGAUUUAAAGUUUUCAUAAAAUCCUACUUUGUUAAGGAUGAUAGGUAUAAGUGAUGUUGUGGAAUUAUUCAAUUUCUAAGUUGUUGAAUUUGGUUUCAUGAAUCGUGUGGUAUCGGUAUAUGAUUAUUCUUGAUAUGUAUAAAUUUCAUAUUUGAAAUGGAUAGAUAUGAUUAAAGUUUAUACGAGCUUACCUUAGCAUUAUUGCUUACGUAGUUAUUUUUCUUUACUUACAGACUAUUGGAAGCUCGAUUGGGUUGGAAGCUCGUCAAAGAUUUAUCACACUAUCCAGCAAUUAUAUCGGUAGAUUUUGAGGUCUUGGUUAAGGUUAUAAUGGCAUGUAUAGGUAUUUUGGCUAAUGUUAGCCCAUGUGUUUUGGGUGUGGAAAUGACUAUUUGGUUAGUUUGCAUUUUGGCCUUGUGUUGGUAAAAUGAUAUAUAUUAUAAGGUGAAUAUAAUUAGCCUUGUAAUGGUUGAUAUAUGACUUAUUAUGGUUGAAUGAUGGUAGAUAGAAAAGUAGUUGAAUGUGCAUAUUAGAUAUGACAUAUAACUUGUUGUGAAUUGGUGUUUUGCCAUAUUAAGCAUAUAUGUGUUUUGAUGCUAUUGAUUAUGUGGUACGGUUGGUACCAAAUGGUAUGUUUUGGUAAGUGAUUUACAUGUUGUGUAAUGUUGCAAAUUUAGUUAGAAGUCAAUCAAUUAUUUUGGCCAAAUUGAGUACAUGGUUAAACAACCAUACAUGUUUUAAAUGUUGUCAUUUGAGGUGCCUUUGGGCAUAUUGGUUGGAUGUUAUUAUACCAUAUGUGUUUGGUUUGAUUAAGCAUGAUUUUGGUGCCUUUUGAGGGCUCACGUAUAUGUGCAAAAGGGAUUUUAGGUACAUGUUGAAAAGGACAAGAAAAAUGGUUUGUAAAAUAGCCUAUUUUCGUCUACACGGGCAGAGACACGGGUGUGUGUCUUAGCCGUAUGUGACACAUGGCUAAAUAACACAGCCGUGUGUCCCCUGUAGUUUUCAAAGGAUUGUAAGUUAGGUUUUAAGCGGCCUGGCCACACAGCCGUGUGACCCUUGCAGUUUGUAAAUUUUCAUUUUUUCCUUAAAAUUUCUAUAUGUUUUUGUUUUAGUCCCGAUUUAUUUCUAAUGUGUUUUUAAGGCCUCGGGGGAUCGUUUAAGGGACAAUAUGUAUGCUAUUGAUUAGUUUUACUGUGAUUGAUGAUAUGAAUUACAUGUUUUAUAAUUUUUUAUAGUCCUGAAAUGUAAACUCUGGUAAUGCUCUGUAACCAUAUUCUGACGGUGGAUACGGGUUAAGGGUAUUACAAGUCUCGAAUUUAAUUCAAAAUACUUUUAAAACCCUUUUAAUAAGAGUUUUGCAUAAUCAUUUAACUACCAAAAAUAAUUGCCUAGGUCGUGUAUAGAAACAAGUCUAUACUAAAUAUAUCAAUAAAUGUCACAUCUCAAACAUAAAAAAUAUAACAUAAAUUUUUUUAUAACCAUCAUCAUAAACAUGUAUGAAAUUUAAUUCAAAAUCCAACCAUUCAAGCUCAUAGAACUUUUCAUUUACAAUUGUUCAUAAUAUUUCUCUAAAUAAUUAACAUAUGGAAUAGUAUAAAACGUAUGAACGACUACCUUUAACAAUUCUUUGAACUAAAUCAAAUCCGAAUAACCAUAAAAGUCAUUGGUUUAUUAACACAAAUUUGCAUACUAGAUAUGUUUUAAUCAAAUAUAUUAUUUAAUUAUAAAACCUACAAUAGCAACAUAAAUAAAUCAGUUAAUAUUGAUUUUUAUGAACAAAUUAAAUGCUUAAAACAAUAUGUAAUCCAUGUAAUCAAAACUUAAAAAGAAGACCAUCUCAAAAUAUUUAAAUCAUAUAUCAAGUUGAUUUAAUAUUUAAAAACGUAAUUUUUUUCUUUUCUUUUUUUGUUCUGUGUUGAGUCUUGAUAAUAAGAAGUAAGCAAAUUAAACUUCAGUAAUAGACUUUGAAUCCAACCAAAAUCUAUUAAUAGCAAAUUUUGAGAGUGAAUCUUAUUUUCCAAGUAUACAAAAGGUACGUAACCAAUGACUCUUCAUAAAUAAAUUGUCUCUCUUCUUAAAAAGUUCUCGAAAAUUAUUAUUCUUUUCUUGCUUUUUUCAUUUUUUCACUUCUAGUGGUGAGAAAAAAUUAUUACUACAAUCUUCAUGACUAUUAUUAUAGUCCAAUUUACUACAUCCAUGUUAAAAAUUAUGUCUUUCGAAUUUAUUACAUAUUGUUACAUUCUCUUCAGGGAAUUGGGGAAUUGUUAGGUUUCGUAGUUAAAAACUUUUGUUCAAUCAUAAGUAAAUUUUUUUUCAUGAUAUUGCUACCAUAGGGGCACAUUUGAAUCAUGUAAAGUUGAAUAAGUUCUUCCUUGUAAGGUUUUUAUCAGUAAUGUUUUUUCACGUGAUUUUAAUUGAGAACUUAUUUUGAAUACUGUAGAAUUAUACUCACAGUUUUAAAAAACUUGCAACUUCAGGUGUAUCAAACCAUAAUGAGCUUUAGAUAGAUUUACCAUAUUUUAUUUCUUAUAAGUAGAUCUUUAACAGUUAAAUAUUUUGCUUUCAGCUCCUUAAUGAGGAUGAUGACCAAAGGAGAUCACAAAAAUAGUCACAAUUAAUUCAAUUUAAUAACAAGAGUAAUCAAUAACUUAAUCCUCCUUUUUUUUAAUCAUUUCAAAAUAGAUAUUUAUAGCAAUAGUGAUUCAUAUGAAAUAUAAGCUUUUCUUCAUUCACAAUCUCAGUAUGAGAUCCAUUACAAUGAAUAUAUUUUAAAACUAAUGCAUUAACCAUAAAAAAAAUUGUUCUUUUAGAUAUUGAUAUAUUAGGUCUUUUGGAGCUUUCAACUAAUUUUGUACUAUCAAAUAUUGAAAUAAUAUUUGUUUAUUUCAAUAACAAAUAAGGUAAAUAUUUUCUAUUUGUAAUGAUAGAAUUCAUUACUACAUUCUCAUAUCAUUCCUCAAAGAAUAUUAACGAAACAAAAUAUUUGGACAUAUGCCACAUAUGUGGUCAAUAAUCUUUCAUAUCACAUUGAUAACAUAUGUUAUCUUUAACCUUUAAAGAAUUAUCUUGAAAAUUCUCAUUGUUCUUUUAUUUAUUAUUAUAUUCUCACUUUUAUUGGUCAAUGAUUAUAUCUUUCAAUUUCUUUAUAUUUUCUUUCACUCCAGGGAAUGCAACAAAUUUGGUAUGACAAACUUCUAAAUUCCUUCAUUGAUUAUUUAUUUCAUUAUCACAAUCGCAAAACAUGCGUGGAUUUCAAAUCAAAAUCUAUUUAUUCAUAUUAUCAUGAUUAGUCUCAAUUAUAAUAAACAUGAUAUAAUAAAUAAAUCAUAGUAAAAUAUACUUAAGAUUCUUUAACAUCAUUGUUAUCACCCUGGCUAUUAUCACUAGCACCAUAAUGCAUAGGCCUCAAUUGAGGACUUAAAUAACAAUAGCUCUAGAAGGCAAUCGACAAUAGCUUGAGUAGCAAAUUUGAGUAACCGGCUAUUGCAUUAGUUGUUGCUUGAAAGGGGUAAGGCUUGGUGAAAGGGAAAAAAAUUUUGUGACUAAUGAAGAAAAACAGUUAAAAGAUAAUCGUGCUGAUAACGUGUUAUAAAAUAAAUAGACAGAAAGUAAAGAACAAAGAAAAUGAGAGAGAGCAAAAAAAAGCGUAUUUUAUUGAUCAAUCAGAGCAUUUAUAAAAUUUCUUCAAAUUCUCUAUUUAUAUGCAUAAGAAAUAUAAAUGAAGUAGCGAUCUACUUCUAAUGGCUAUUAGAAUUUAAAGUACAUCAAAAAUUAUCUUGAUCUUUAUAGACAUCCACUUAAUAAGAUAUUCAUAACAUGUAUAAUAAUAUUAAUUAUUUAAAAAUCAUAUAACAUAACUUUUUUUUUACUUUUGACUAUCAUAUUUAAAAAGAAUAUUUUAACCAUCAACCAUAAUUUUUUACGGUAAUAGAAAAUAUUAAAAAUUCAUAAACCACAUUUUUUUACCUUAUUUUUCAAAACCACUUUAUUUUUAUUUCCUAUAACUUUUCAAAAGUACUUUUGUGGCCAUAAGAAAUGUUAAACAGACAAAUUCUAAAAACAUUUUUGAAAAACACUUUUUAACCACAACAACUAAUAGAAAACUAUCCCUAAGGUGAUGAAAGGCGACAGAGCCACCCAUAACCAAGCCCAAAUGAGAACCUUCAGCUGAGGAGCUCACUUAAAACAACGGGACUAUGAUAGUUACCUUUAUUUUUUCGAUAAUUGAUAUGUAUCUUAACGUAUCCUUAAUUAACACACUUUAACCAACUAAACGAUAAGUUGGGUUUGCAAGUAAAUGAUUAGCCCUUGGCAACGUGAUCCCAAACUUCUCAGUCAUAUCAAGUUCAUCAGGUAACAUCCCAUCAGUCAACUCCCAAUCAAAGCAAUGAACUAAUUGAGCUAUAAUUAGACGCAUGUUGGUCAACCCCAACUGCAUUCCAGGACAUCCUCUACGGCCACUCCCGAACGGGAUGAGUUGGAAAUCAUGUCCUCGAAGGUCUAUGUUGCUAUCCUUGAACCUUUCUGGAAAGAACUCUUCAGCAUUGUCUGACCAUACUUUGUGGUCUCGCCCCAUGGACCAAACAUUCACUAAAAUCCGCGACUUCUUCGGUAUGAAAUAUCCAUCAAUGGUGAUAUCUUUUGUCGACUCACGUGGAAGUAGUAAGGGUGCCACCGGAUGCAACCUUAAACUCUCUUUGAUGACCAUAUCUAAGUAAGUAAGCUUUGGUAGAUCCGACUCUUCUACCAUUCUAUGCCUUCCAACAAUUCUUUCUAGUUCUUGUUGGAGAGCAACCAUGACUGGAGGAUGCCUUAGAAGCUCUGCAAGUGUCCACUCAAUGGCUGUAGUUGUGGUGUCAAAUGAAGCUGCCACCAUGUCCACCAUUAUGGCCUUGAUGUUUUCUCUACCAAUGAUGUACCGCUGCUCUUCAUCGUUAGGAUUCAUGGGCGUAUUCAACAAUGAAAGCAUUACAUGAAAGAAAUCUGUGUAAGGUUUUUGCUCCUUGGCGUUAGUCCCUUGUUCAUGCUCAUCAAUCAUUUUGUCAAUAAUUGCGUGAAGCCCAUUGCCUAUCCUCUUAAGCCUUCUUCUAUAUCCCUGCAGUGUAAUAUAUUAUUUUAUUCUUCAUUACUGUCAAGUCUUUGUGAAAAUACUAGAUUUAUUUGGUGAAUCAAGUAUUUUAAUUUUUUUUAAUUCGAACCAGAUUAUUUCUGGGAAAGGUGAAGACAUAACCAACUUGAUAUUUUAAUCUUUUAAAAAUCUAUAAAAUCAAAUUAUUCAAACUUAAUUAAACUCUUAAAACAUUUCUUUAUAAUUAGACUAGAUCGGUCGAUUGAACCGAUUGGGCUAAGAGUUAAUAGAGUUAUCGGUCUGGAAUGAAGGGUUAAAUUAAUUGAUCCAUGAAUUAAUACGAACUAAUUGAACCGACGAUUGAAUAAGUUUUCUUUCUUUUUUAAAUAUAUAUUUAUGAUUUUUAAAUAAUUUAUUCAAUUAAAAGAAUGCUUCAAUGGCUUCUUUUGAAACUUAAUUAUUUGUUUUCAAACUCAAGUUUUUUUAUUAUUAUUAUCAAUUAUUAUCAAUUUUUAGUGAAUUACAAUAGAAGGGCAAAGCCCUAACAGCAACGCAAAUAGCGUGAGUUGGACCUAGGUUACACCUAGAGCGGUGAAUAUCCUAAUCAUCAAGUUAACACAUAGGGUUCUUUAUCAGUUUUUUUUUUAACUUCAGCUCUUUGGCUUCGUGACAAACUUUUUUUUUUUAAUUCAAAAGGGUGCUGCUUGACACAUUGGCAACACCUAGAUAAAAAUAAUUUUUUAUUUUUUCUUUCAUCAUGUAUAUCCGUGAAAAUACAGGUAUUUUUUAAAAAAUAUAGUACUGCCUAACACAGUGACGAUACUAAUAAAAAAUUAUUUAAAAAAACAUAAUUAUUAGCCAAUAAUUGAACGAAAAAGUAGGGCGAUGUCACCAAUGUGUCAGGUGGCACCGAUUUACAUUGUAACAAGCAACCCAAUUUCGUAAAUAAAUUUUCCCCAACCCAUUUUUAUAAUUAAUGAAAAUUUUUAUAUUAUUUUUAUAACAAGCGACAUCUUAUACAAUUUUCAUAAUUUAUUUAUUUUUAUAUUAUUUUGAUAAAAGAAAAAAACCCAAGAUGGAGCAAGUAAUUACAAAAUAAAUUGUGAAAAGGAAAACAGUGCAUAUAAAAUAGGAUAAAAUGAGAAAAAGAAAGGAUAUUCACCUGAAGGUCAAGUGGAGCAAGAAAAGGUAAAUAAUCGGACAGAUUAAAAACCCCAGCCAAGAUCAUGGUCUCGUCAAUUAGCGGUUUAAAUUGGAAUUUAUCAUCCAUGGAUUGCCCGAAAAUCACUUUACACAUCAUUACUUCAGUAACCUUACCUACCUUCCGGCUAAGGUCCACCGUCUCACCCGCCGCCACUGCCUUCCUCACCGAUUCAACCAAUGACACCACCUCUUUCUUUCGUACUGGGGCAAAGCAUUCGAUUUUUGAAGCGCCAAGGAAGUGCAAAGUGCACCAUUUCCGUACAGUUCGCCAAUAGGAACCGUAGUGGGUAAAAGCCAAGCCCUUGCCACCGUAGGUCAAGUACUCGGUAGAUUGGAGGUUAGGCCUGGAAGCAAAAACGAGGUCAUGGACCUUGAGGAACAGUUCAGCGGCUUCAGGUGAUGAUACCACAAUGGUUGGCACAUAGCCUAGCUUUAUUGACAUUAUGGGUCCAUAUUUUUUGCCGAGAUGGUGAAGGGUUUGGUGAGGAAGGUUCCCUAGCAUAUGGAGGUUACCAAUAAUGGGAAGAGGAGA